CAGGUUGUGUUGGCUCCAGGUUUUCGGCAUUGUGCCUGCACUGAAUAAAAGCAAACAGCUCCAGCUUCUCGGGACUGCUGUCUGGCCACUGGAGCCAGGCAGUCACCUAGCUGCUCUUACACUGCAUACCUGUGUCUGAGUACUCAUUUCACCCAUCGGCCAAGGUCUGUGGGACAGACACAGCACAGAAGGAACCAGAGUACCAGAUCUUGUUUUCCUGGAAAAGGUCUUUUUUUCUCAGUCAACUGAGAAAACUGUGACUUACCACUCUUGGUGCAUGCAUGAAAGACCCUAGAAUGACUUCUGGUAGCCUGGGACUCCUUGGGAAAACAGAAAAGGUGCCACAAAUCCCAUUUUGGGAAAAAUCUGUUUUCCUCAUGGAACACCUGGAAUUAAAGAGUCAAGGAAAUUUUCUUAAAAGCCUUUAAGAACUAAGUAAACUAUACUCCUGUAAACAAUGUUUGGAGCAUGUUUGUUUCUCUCUGCCUAGUUCUUCUAGAAUUUGGAAACUAGUUAUAAGUAUUCUUGAAUUACAACUAUAUAGUUAUUUGCAUCAGUGCAACAAGAAUCCAUUUUCUUUUGCAACAAAACACAAUUGGAAAAACUGAUUGUUUUACCAAGGCUUUGACUUCAAGGCUUUGACUUGCAGAGCCAAUGAAAGCCCUUUGGGAAAACUGGCUGCAUACCUUGUCUACACAGUCUCUGUACAGUGUUCCUGACCUGUGGUGCGUAAAGAAUGUCACUUUCUAACAGGCCCGGAAACCCCAUGCUCCUGGAACCUCAAGAAGAAAGAAGUUUAUCCAACUCACAGGUAUUUGAGGGUACAAACUCAUGGCUGGGCUUGGCUUCAAAAAGUCCUAUCCAAGAUUCCUUGUGGAACAGAGUUCUAUCAAAACCAAUCAAAAUACACAGAGGUAAUUAUUCUUGCUGUACUUUUUGCAGAUAAUCAGGCCAAGUAUAGGACUAAAGUUUAUUCUGCAACCAGCUCAGUCCUAUCAUAAGUUGUUUUUCAUAAAAAUGAGAACUGGAGAGAGAAAUUAUGUUCCACACUUACUGUACA
rnacentral:lncRNA from 1 species